AUUGAACGCUGGCGGCAGGCCUAACACAUGCAAGUCGAACGAGUGGCGGACGGGUGAGUAAUGUCUGGGAAACUGCCUGAUGGAGGGGGAUAACUACGGGAAACGGUAGCUAAUACCGCAUACCAUCAGAUGUGCCCAGAUGGGAUUAGCUAGUUGGUGGGGUAACGGCUCACCAAGGCGACGAUCCCUAGCUGGUCUGAGAGGGUGACCGGCCACACUGGGACUGAGCAACGGUCCAGACUCCUACGGGAGGCAGCAGUGGGGAAUAUUUGGCAAUGGGCGCAAGCCUGAUGCAGCCAUGCCGCGUGUAUGAAGAAGGUCUUCGGGUUGUAAAGGACUUUCGUCGGGGAGGCGUUACCCGCAGAAGAAGCACCGGCUAACUCCGUGCCAGCAGCCGCGGUAAUAC
rnacentral:rRNA from 1 species